rnacentral:rRNA from 1 species
AUACGUAGGGGGCUAGCGUUAUCCGGAAUUACUGGGCGUAAAGGGUGCGUAGGUGGUUUCUUAAGUCAGAAGUGAAAGGCUACGGCUCAACCGUAGUAAGCUUUUGAAACUAAGAGACUUGAGUGCAGGAGAGGAGAGUAGAACUCCUAGUGUAGCGGUGAAAUGCGUAGAUAUUAGGAGGAAUACCAGUUGCGAAGGCGGCGCUCUGGACUGUAACUGACACUGAGGCACGAAAGCGUGGGGAGCAAACAGGAUUAGAUCCCCUGGUAGUCCACGCCGUAAACGAUGAGUACUAGCUGUCGGGGGUUACCCCCCUCGGUGGCGCAGCUAACGCAUUAAGUACUCCGCCUGGGAAGUACGCUCGCAAGAGUGAAACUUAAAUGAAUUGGCGGG